rnacentral:rRNA from 1 species
GACGAACGCUGGCGGCGUGCUUAACACAUGCAAGUCGAACGGAAAGGCCCUGCUUUUGCGGGGUGCUCGAGUGGCGAACGGGUGAGUAACACGUGAGUAACCUGCCCUUGACUUUGGGAUAACUUCAGGAAACUGGGGCUAAUACCGGAUAGGAGCUCCUGCUGCAUGGUGGGGGUUGGAAAGUUUCGGCGGUUGGGGAUGGACUCGCGGCUUAUCAGCUUGUUGGUGGGGUAGUGGCUUACCAAGGCUUUGACGGGUAGCCGGCCUGAGAGGGUGACCGGCCACAUUGGGACUAAGAUACGGCCCAGACUCCUACGGGAGGCAGCAGUGGGGAAUAUUGCACAAUGGGCGGAAGCCUGAUGCAGCAACGCCGCGUGCGGGAUGACGGCCUUCGGGUUGUGAACCGCUUUCGCCUGUGACGAAGCGUGAGUGACGGUAAUGGGUAAAGAAGCACCGGCUAACUACGUG